rnacentral:rRNA from 1 species
UACGAAGGGGGCGAGCGUUGUUCGGAUUUACUGGGCGUAAAGGGCGCGCAGGCGGCGAGUUUUGUCAGGCGUGAAAGCCCCGGGCUUAACCUGGGAAUGGCGCUUGGGACGGGUUCGCUAGAGAUCGGGAGAGGAGCGUGGAAUUCCCAGUGUAGAGGUGAAAUUCGUAGAUAUUGGGAAGAACACCGGUGGCGAAGGCGGCGCUCUGGACCGAGACUGACGCUGAGGCGCGAAAGCGUGGGGAGCAAACAGG